rnacentral:lncRNA from 1 species
UAACUAAAACCAUGCAACCAAAGAGCCAGCAAUAAUUUUACUCUUCCUGCAAGCAUCCACUCACUGAGACAUUUUCAUGCUACCAGCCACAAUACCACUACUUCAAGAAUUAGCAGCAUUUUGAUUAAGAAUUCCCACUUUGUUACUGGAUUGCAGACAGGAGCAGAGCAAUUUCUCAAAGGAAAUGGAACCAGUCUUUAGCUAGAUGGCUCAUGGAAUGGAAAACAGUCUUUCAAAUGGUCUGUCUUGAUCACUGUCUCAAACCCACAUUACUUAGUAGAAUUUGAAAUAAACAGACACUUGCACUAGCAAAGUACCAGGUCAAAACAGCAGAUGACUAACCAACACAAGAAAUGUGUUACUUUCCUAAUGAUCGUGCACAUGACAACAGUGCGGCAUUCAAUCCCCCCUCAAAUAAUUAGAUCACUGGAUUAUACUACUGUCUUCAUACCAACAGGCGUAGCUUCCUGACUCAGCUUUGAAAGGGUCUUUCCUGAUAAGCUGGACAUCCAUCAACUACAAAAAUUACUGCUACAACACUCUUACCUUAUUGUGGAGCACAGUCCAGUAGUGAUCUUUGCUUUUUGAACCAAUUCUUCUAUCCAAAAAUUGGAGGAGAAGAGAUUGCUUCACCAUACAAAGAAACAUCUCAAGAUUCUCUCCAGAAGACCAAAUCCUCCACAAAAAAAUCUAUUUACUUUGGAUGUCCUAAAUGUUUAGACCAUAAAUCUAGAAUGAAAGUAAAUUGCUUGGGUAAUGUACAGUAAUAUCUGGCAUAUAAAGUGAUUUCAGACCAUUCUACAAGGAGUUCAUUCACUCCUUGUAGGCACACCAGCUAGAUUAGUUUUAAAGUUCAAAGGAAACAAAACAUAAGCACUGGCCAGUAUUUUCAAACAUAAAUGCCUAAAUCCAGGUGAAAGAGACAU